rnacentral:rRNA from 1 species
CAGGCUUAACACAUGCAAGUCGAGGGGCAUCAGGAAGAAAGCUUGCUUUCUUUGCUGGCGACCGGCGCACGGGUGAGUAACACGUAUCCAACCUGCCCUUUACUCGGGGAUAGCCUUUCGAAAGAAAGAUUAAUACCCGAUAGCAUAAUGAUUCCGCAUGGUUUCAUUAUUAAAGGAUUCCGGUAAAGGAUGGGGAUGCGUUCCAUUAGGUUGUUGGUGAGGUAACGGCCCACCAAGCCUUCGAUGGAUAGGGGUUCUGAGAGGAAGGUCCCCCACAUUGGAACUGAGACACGGUCCAAACUCCUACGGGAGGCAGCAGUGAGGAAUAUUGGUCAAUGGGCGGUAGCCUGAACCAGCCAAGUAGCGUGAAGGAUGAAGGCUCUAUGGGUCGUAAACUUCUUUUAUAUAAGAAUAAAGUGCAGUAUGUAUACUGUUUUGUAUGUAUUAUAUGAAUAAGGAUCGGCUAACUCCGUGCCAGCAGCCGCGGUAAUACGGAGGAUCCGAGCGUUAUCCGGAUUUAUUGGGUUUAAAGGGAGCGUAGGUGGACUGGUAAGUCAGUUGUGAAAGUUUGCGGCUCAACCGUAAAAUUGCAGUUGAUACUGUCAGUCUUGAGUACAGUAGAGGUGGGCGGAAUUCGUGGUGUAGCGGUGAAAUGCUUAGAUAUCACGAAGAACUCCGAUUGCGAAGGCAGCUCACUGGACUGCAACUGACACUGAUGCUCGAAAGUGUGGGUAUCAAACAGGAUUAGAUACCCUGGUAGUCCACACAGUAAACGAUGAAUACUCGCUGUUUGCGAUAUACAGUAAGCGGCCAAGCGAAAGCAUUAAGUAUUCCACCUGGGGAGUACGCCGGCAACGGUGAAACUCAAAGGAAUUGACGGGGGCCCGCACAAGCGGAGGAACAUGUGGUUUAAUUCGAUGAUACGCGAGGAACCUUACCCGGGCUUAAAUUGCAGUGGAAUGAUGUGGAAACAUGUCAGUGAGCAAUCACCGCUGUGAAGGUGCUGCAUGGUUAUCGUCAGCUCGUGCCGUGAGGUGUCGGCUUAAGUGCCAUAACGAGCGCAACCCUUAUCUUCAGUUACUAACAGGUUAUGCUGCGGACUCUGGAGAGACUGCCGUCGUAAGAUGUGAGGAAGGUGGGGAUGACGUCAAAUCAGCACGGCCCUUACGUCCGGGGCUACACACGUGUUACAAUGGGGGGUACAGAAGGCAGCUAGCGGGUGACCGUAUGCUAAUCCCAAAAUCCUCUCUCAGUUCGGAUCGAAGUCUGCAACCCGACUUCGUGAAGCUGGAUUCGCUAGUAAUCGCGCAUCAGCCACGGCGCGGUGAAUACGUUCCCGGGCCUUGUACACACCGCCCGUCAAGCCAUGGGAGCCGGGGGUACCUGAAGUACGUAACCGCAAGGAUCGUCCUAGGGUAAAACUGGUGACUGGG